AUUGAACGCUGGCGGAAUGCUUUACACAUGCAAGUCGAACGGUAGAGGGGGCAACCCCUUGAGAGUGGCGAACGGGUGAGUAAUAUAUCGGAACGUGCCCAGUCGUGGGGAUAACGUAGCGAAAGCUACGCUAAUACCGCAUACGAUCUAUGGAUGAAAGCGGGGGAUCGCAAGACCUCGCGCGAUUGGAGCGGCCGAUAUCAGAUUAGGUAGUUGGUGAGGUAAAGGCUCACCAAGCCGACGAUCUGUAGCUGGUCUGAGAGGACGACCAGCCACACUGGGACUGAGACACGGCCCAGACUCCUACGGGAGGCAGCAGUGGGGAAUUUUGGACAAUGGGCGCAAGCCUGAUCCAGCAAUGCCGCGUGAGUGAUGAAGGCCUUAGGGUUGUAAAGCUCUUUUACCCGGGAUGAUAAUGACAGUACCGGGAGAAUAAGCUCCGGCUAACUCCGUGCCAGCAGCCGCGGUAAUGUGACUAC
rnacentral:rRNA from 1 species